GGCAGCGCGAGCCGCGGGAUCCCUGACUGCAGGGGCUGGCAGCUCAAUUCCCGAGGCUGCGGAAAGGGGAAAGACAGAAAGCAAGGAUGGUAAUGAUCCCUGCUCUUGGCUGGCACGAAACCACAGACUGAACUAGGUUGGAAAAGACGUCAGUGAUCGUCAGCUGUGAGCAGCCUUGUCGAGUAGAGCCACGUCCAGCGCUCCCUCAGACACCUCCGGGACGGUGGCUGCACCGCCUCCCUGGGCAGCCCCUCGCCAUGUCCAGCCUCCGUUCCUGUGAGAAAUCUCGUCCUGACACCCAGCCCGAGCCUCCCCUGGCGCGGCUCCAGGCUGUGUCCCCGUGUCCUGUCCCUGGCUGCCCGGGAGAAGAGGCCGCCCCGCUCCUGGCCGCCGCCUCCGUUCAGGUGGUUGUGGAGAGCCAGGAGGUCACCCCCGAGCCCCCUGUUCCCCAGGCUAGAGAUACACACAUACCAUUUUUCCCCCACCAAUUUCCUCAGCAGGGUGUUUUUUCUACCUCUCCAGGCCUCUUCUCUCACCUGUGAGCCCUUUACUGAGACUAAAGCUGUUGUUACACGGACAAAGCAACAGUUGUUUUGGCAAAGCAACUUACCGUCAUCUUUUUUUGUCUUACUGAUGUUACAUUGGAUACUCUCAGGAAGCAAAUAUUUAAACUCAUUUUGAAUGAAUAUGUAGGCAAAUGUCUUCCACAUUUAUUAGCACCAUCAUCAACUACAAAUGGUAACCCAUUGUCAAAAUUCAAGUCCCCCAAUUUCAACAGAUCUUUAUAUUUUUGUGUAUUCCUCUUGCAUUUUCAAUGUGCCUUACUAAUAGCAGACUCUGUAUUAGUCUCCUUUUGACUGCCUACUAACAAGCAGUUAUUGAAAGCAUUUGUAAUUUGCAUGUACAUAAAUGAACCACUUCAGUUUUCUCCUUAGCAUCCUUCUAGAUGAACGACUAGUGCCAAAAAGAAAAAAAAAAGAAAAAAAAAAAAGAAAGAAAGAAAUGGCUGAAGAAAUAUCCUCUGCUGUCUCUGGGAAAGUCGCACUAGUAGCACUUUGGUGGGGUGGUGCACCAGCACACGCUAUCAGUAUUUCUGUAUUGGCACAGCAGUUGCAGUGUGUGCAGCCAUAGAGACUGAGAAUGCAGGCUCCAGGGAUCUCUGGUUAUGCAAUGGUAUAAUACAACAUAUGUGGGUGGGUGUAAGCCUGAACCCAAAACAGCAUGGUUACUGAAGAUAUACUGCAUCGCUGGUGCUCAUACUGCCGUUCCCUCACGGGUUCAGACACUAUUUGUUGAAUGUUCUGCUGUAGACAAGGCAAAAAGACUUUUUUUUUUUGCAAAUGUAUCUGAAAUUAUCUAAAGUGCGAGCAAAUAGCUUGACAUUUUGUAGUUCCUGCAGAGGAUUCUCACACCCUAAAAACAGUAUUGUUUAUUCAGAGCAUCUCAGUCUCCUUGUGUAGCCUGUUGAUUUGUUGCUCUUGUGGAUGGUAAGAAGGAGGAGCAAAAUUCAGAUUUCACUGGCAGCAUUAGAACUGGUAGGAUGUUUGGAUCAGCAGUGGGACAUGGAUCUUCAACUGUGUGCCAUUGGUGCAGAUCCUGCUGAAGACAUUAAAUAGCUGGUUUAAUAAAUCAUUAAUCAAAUUUAAAACAUUUUAAUUUGUGCCACUGGUGCAAAUCCAAGUAAGGUCAAGAGACUAGCUGGCUCAAUGGUUAAGUGAUAGAAAACAAAGUUGUACCUCCAGCUUAUUCAUGUGAGUCUGUAAAGAGUCAGGAAACUAAGGCUGAGACCUUGAAAUAAAAAGAUUUUCCAAUUCAGCUAUUGUUUUAAAGUCAGUCUAUUACAGGUUAUUACUUUAUGAUAUGUUUAAAUACUCUGUGUUGAUCUAUAAA